GAUCAUGGCUCAGGAUGAACGCUAGCUACAGGCUUAACACAUGCAAGUCGAGGGGCAGCAUGGUCUUAGCUUGCUAAGGCCGAUGGCGACCGGCGCACGGGUGAGUAACGCGUAUCCAACCUGCCUUACACUCUUGGACAGCCUUCUGAAAGGGAGAUUAAUACAAGAUGUUAUCAUGAGUAAGCAUUUUCGUCAUGAUUAAAGUUUAACCGGUUGUAGAUGGGAGGUGCGUU
rnacentral:rRNA from 1 species